rnacentral:rRNA from 1 species
CAAGUAGGCGGUCUAUUAAGUGAGGGGUGAAAUCUUCCGGCUCAAUCGGAAAACUGCCUUUCAAACUACUAGACUUGAGGUUGGAAGGGGGAAACGGAAUUAGCAGUGUAAGGGUGAAAUCUGUAGAUAUUGCUAAGAACACCAGCGGCGAAGGCGGUUUCCUGGUCCAAAUCUGACGCUGAAUUACGAAAGCUAGGGGAGCAAACAGGAUUAGAUACCCUGGUAGUCC